rnacentral:rRNA from 1 species
GUACCGAAGCUAUGGAUUUACAGUUUACUGUAAGUGGUAGGGGAGCAUUCUAUAGGCGUCGAAGGUGUACUGCGAGGUAUGCUGGAGCGUAUAGAAAAGAAAAUGUAGGCAUAAGUAACGAUAAGGCGGGAGAGAAACCCGCCCACCGAAAGACUAAGGUUUCCUGAUCAACGCUAAUCGGAUCAGGGUUAGUCGGGGCCUAAGGAUAAUCCGAGUGGAGAUUCCGAUGGACAACUGGUUAAUAUUCCAGUACUUUUGAUAACUGCGAUGCAGUGACGGAGUAGUGACACAUCCGCGUCCUGACGGAAUAGGACGUUAAAGGCAGUAGGUAUAGGCUGGGUAGUAAAGUACGCCCGGUUUGCUGAAUGCUGAUAG